rnacentral:rRNA from 1 species
GUGUCAGCAGCCGCGGUAAUACAGAGGUCCCAAGCGUUGUUCGGAUUCACUGGGCGUAAAGGGUGCGUAGGUGGCUUGGUAAGUUUGAUGUGAAAUCUCCGGGCUUAACCCGGAAAUGGCAUUGAAUACUAUUGAGCUGGAGGUUUGGAGGGGGGACUGGAAUUCUCGGUGUAGCAGUGAAAUGCGUAGAUAUCGAGAGGAACACCAGUGGCGAAGGCGAGUCCCUGGACAACACCUGACACUGAGGCACGAAAGCUAGGGGAGCAAACAGGAUUAGAUACCCUGGUAGUCC